AUUGAACGCUGGCGGCAGGCCUAACACAUGCAAGUCGAACGGUAACAGAAAGCAGCUUGCUGCUUUGCUGACGAGUGGCGGACGGGUGAGUAAUGUCUGGGAAACUGCCUGAUGGAGGGGGAUAACUACUGGAAACGGUAGCUAAUACCGCAUAACGUCGCAAGACCAAAGAGGGGGACCUUCGGGCCUCUUGCCAUCGGAUGUGCCCAGAUGGGAUUAGCUAGUAGGUGGGGUAACGGCUCACCUAGGCGACGAUCCCUAGCUGGUCUGAGAGGAUGACCAGCCACACUGGAACUGAGACACAGUCCAGACUCCUACGGGAGGCAGCAGUGGGGAAUAUUGCACAAUGGGCGCAAGCCUGAUGCAGCCAUGCCGCGUGUAUGAAGAAGGCCUUCGGGUUGUAAAGUACUUUCAGCGAGGAGGAAGGUGUUGUGGUUAAUAACCACAGCAAUUGACGUUACUCGCAGAAGAAGCACCGGCUAACUCCGUGCCAGCCGCCGCCGUAAAAC
rnacentral:rRNA from 1 species